rnacentral:tRNA from 1 species
GGUUAUGGCUCAGUGGUAGAGCACUCGCUUAGCACGUGCAAGGCCCUGGGUUCAAUUCUCAGCACCA